UAUUAAUCAUUAGCUAAUUUUUUCCCCAAUUAAAUUGUUUACAACUUGAAUUCUAAUAUUUAAAGUGAUCAAUCCAUCAAUCGAAAUGCAAAAAGCUCUUGGACCUUCAAAAAUCUUUGUGAGAAUAUGAGAUUUUGUUUUGUUUUUCUUUUCUCUUAUAGCUUCCGAAAGUUGUGUGUUCUCCUUGGAAUUCAAUAAUUUCCCUAAAAUGUGUAUUUAUGAAGACAAAUUAAGACACUUUGGAUUUGGCGUGUAACCAUAUUACCUAACACUUAUUUGAUUACAUAGACAGAGAGAUACAUGUAUAGAGUUUGAGAGAAUCAACAAGCAAUCAAGUUAAACAUGUGAUAAACAAACGAAUCAAGAGGGAAACAAAUGAUGAAGAAGAGGAUAAAAUCAAGAGAAUUCAAUCAAAACAAAUAUCUCUGGAUAGUGAUAAGAGUGAUGUAUAUUUGAUAUACAGAAAUGUCUUAAGUUACAAUUGGUAAACAACUUACAAUUUAAAGUAAAUUCAAUGGAUUCAAAUAUUUGAUUGAAAUUGAUACAAUAUCAACAGUUGUUGAAAUAACAACAACAACAACAACAAAAGCUUUGUUACCAAUGGAAAGGAAAUUAAGUUUCAAUAUUCAAACAAAUUUACUCUUUAACAUUUCAAUUCAAUUGUGGAUCAGCUGUUGAUGGUAUAACGAUUUUGAUACAUUUCUCCUGUUGAAGAAAAAUAAUCCUGACGAAAAAAAAAGGAUUCAGAUUGAAAAUUAUAUCCAAUUGAUCAAGGAAAAUCAAGUCAACAAGUGAACAGAUUUUGAUACAAGUUAAUUGUGUUAAACUGUAACGGAUUUCUCACCAAAAUUACCCACACACAUACACACUUACAUUGAGACAUGAAGAAAUGGAGGAGAAAACAAAAAAACUCUUACCUAUUAAGUGCAAUUCACCAUGAUACCAGUUUAAUGAUAUCAGAAAACGAUUUCAAUUGAAUCGUAAUGAUAUUUGUUUCACUUAAGUGUUUAUCUUCACCCCACCACAAACUGUUCACUUGCUGUUUUAUUGGGGCUUUUGGUUUUGUUUUUACUCAUUUUCUACCACAAUACCUUGUUAUUGUUCAAUUACAAUCAAAUAAUGUCUAUUGAUCCUGCUAUCAUCGCAUCAUCAACAUCAUCAAGUUAAACAGCAAGAAAAGUACAACAGUGGUCACAAAAUAUGAAAAUGACCUCAAUAAGUGAUUAGAAUUGUUGUUGUUAUUCUUGUUGUUAAAAUCGAAAGGUUUUACAAGAUGGAGAGAGAGAGAGAGAAAAGUAAACGAACAAAGUAAAACAAGAAAAGAAGGUAACCAGUACCGGGUAGAAUUAUAAGUUCUUCAAAAGAAUUGGCACAAACCGUAAAGUUUCUUUCUUUUCUUCUGUCUCUUUUUUCAUCUUUUUUCUUAUACUUUUCACCUUAAUUUUCUUUUUUUUUCUUGUUAACUUAUCUUUAUUUUCUUUCUUCAGGUUUCAUCUCCCCUGCGCUCUCUCUCUCUCUUUCUAUCUCUCUUUGCCGUCUUCCUCCAUUUCACUUUCAUCCGGGUCACUGAAGUUGUCUUUAUUAUUUACGAACUUGAUCAGCAAAAGUUUUACGAAUCAAUUUGGGCUCAAGCAAAGUAACAAGAAAACAAGUAAAAGGAUCAACAAGGAAAAGUUUUCUACACCUUUCGCUUCUAAUAACUUCAUCUUUUUCUCUCUAAUUUUCUUCCUAAAAUAUUGGUGUGUCGAAUAAUGAAAAAGUAACUCUCUCUCUCUCUCUCUCUCUCUCUCUCUCUCUCUCUCUCUCUCUCUCUCUCUGGACCAAAUAGGAAAGGUGAUAAUAUGCUCUUUCACUAUGCAUUUGCAGGGAGAGAAAAAGAGAGCAAAGAUAUGAGUGGAAGGAAAAUUCUAUACCAGAAAUGUAAAGAAAAGAGGGAGGAGGAGGAGAGAGAGAGAUGAAUAAGAUUAAGGUACAGAGAAAUAAAUGUUAAAAGAGAGGGAAGAGACAAAGAAAGUGGAGAGGGAAAAGGGAAGAGGGAAGAGGAUAAAACGUGAUCUCUGUUAGAAGUUCAACUAGCAAGGUGUAAACGUUACAUUUUGACCUCAGGAUUCAACGGAUGUCAAAUAACAACAACAACGAGGAGUUUUAAAAGCUACUUCUUUAAAGACACACACGAGAUUCUCAUUCAUCUUUAAAAAGAUUUACUAUUUUCCCUCUCUCGUUCUCCCUCUCCAUCUCCCUUUCCCUCCCUUUCAAUCUUUCCCUCUCUUUAUCUCCCGGUUUCUCACUCCAUCUCUCCCUCUCUCUCUCUCACUUUACACGACUCAAUCCAGGCCAAUUUUAAACCAAUUGAAAAGAAAGAGAAGAGCCCGUGCUCCCGCCGUUUCCUCCAUAUCAUCAUUCACUCUCCCUCUCUUUUCAUCCUCUUUCUUUCCACCACCUCUGACAUUCACAUUUAAGCCUCGUGGCCUACCGAUAGUCAACGUCUGUAACGUGCUUCUUGUUUAUUGUGACCUCAUGCGGAGGGGAAAAAGAGGAGAGUCAAUGGAAAACAUCUCGGGAAGGAAAAAGGAGAGAGUUCAACAUAAUUUUGGGGGGAAAAAGAUAAUGGACUGAGGGAGAAUGAAGAGGGAAAAGGCCAAACAUGUGAUCAAAAACAAGAAAGAAAGAGAGAGAGAGUAAAACAAUUUCCCUCAAGAUGUCAAAGUGUGACCUUUUUCUCUGCGUAUGACCUGUCGCUUGUUAUGAUGGCAUUUGAAUGGUGAUGUUAAGCAUCUUUAUGAUGAUAAAAUGAUCUCGAGAUGAUAUCGACCUUUCAAGACUUUAAAUUAUUGGAAAACUAAUACCAAACAAUUAAAUCCGCAGGAAAAACACAGUUUUGUUGAUUGUUUCCAUUUAGAGGUCAAGGUUUACAUGGAUCAAGACACAGACACAAUUACUGAGGAUACGAGAGAUUAUCACAAAUAGAAAGUAAUUCAUCUUUAUCUUCAUCUUCUCAUUGUUAAUUUAGAUUAAGGACAAACCAACGUUCACAUUGAGUUAAAUGGAUAAUCAAAGAGCAGAAAAUGUUAUCAACUAGACUCAUUUGUUUUACUUUUUUCUCAUCAUCAUUUUUUCAUUUUGAUCUAAAUUCUAUUUGAUCAGAAAAAUUAUAUUUCCUUCCUUCCAGAGCACGUCGACUGUUAAGUGCUAUUACGUGGAUGGAAUCAUUCAUAAUCAUGAUUAACCACCAAACACCAUCGAGAGAGAAAAUGAUUAACUACAAGCCAAUACUGAACAAUAUUCCAAAUACAAGUUACAUCGUAUGAACAAUUUAACAAUUGAUUACAAAGAUUCAUUGGAUUUUACAGUUAUACUAUUUACCGUUAUUGUUUUGUGUGUUUCUGCUUUUAUAACUUCAAUGACAAUUAAUCAAUCACUUGUUAUUAUUUUCUCUUUACCAUUAAUUAAAUGAUUAAUAUUAUCAUUUACUUGUUAGAAAUAGUGACGAGAUAUAUUUCAAAAUAGUAAUUUGAAAUAAUCAAUUAUCUCCCAUGAAAAUAAGUUGAAUUCAUUGAUAUUAUAAAUCAACAAUAAAUGAACUAAAUUGAUUACGAAUUAAAUUGUAGUUUUUACUUUCGAAAGGUAAAUUGUUAAAUCAAUACACAUUUUGAAUGUUAAUAAUUUUUCAUUGGGUUAACAAUAAUUAACAUUCAAUGAUUAGUUUUAAUAACCUGA